rnacentral:tRNA from 1 species
GGAGCCGUGCCUGAACUAAAGGGCCACUUUGAUAGAGUGAAUCACGAGGGUUAAAAUCCCUCCGACUCCU